ACCGGCUCCUCCUCUUGAAUAGCCCCUCCCCUCACCAGCUCCACCGUCCGUAGAUCCUCCCUCGAGGUCCCGCCCAUCCGACAGGCCCGUCCCUCCCUAGUUGGUCCCGCCCUCCGCAGUUUCUCUCGUAAGGUCCCGCCUACCCGACAGCCCCGCCCUUUCCUGGUUGGUCCCGCCCUCCGCAGCUCUUCCGGCGAGGUCCCACCCACCCGACAGCCCCGCCGCUCCCCGUUGGCCCCGCCCUCCGCAGCUCCUUCCGCGAGGUCACGCCCACUCGUGCAGCCCCUCUCCUCCGGCCUCGGCCCCGCCCACCGAGGCCAGGCCUCGAAGACUUGGUGGCCGCUGCGCCAAUAGGAUUUUAUUUUUAUUCUUUAAUUUGACUGGAUCGUAAAUGGGUCACUGACAGAUACUGCAGUGGGGAGUGAUGUACUCACAUUUGCAUUUUAGAAGACAUCGGUGGUAGGAGUGUGGAGAAGGAGGUGAGGGUGGGAGUAAAAGCAGGAGGCAGAAAGAGCAAUCAGCAUCCAGCUAUGGUUCAGGGUAACUUUGGAGGCACACAAUGCCCUCCUCAGCUUUUUAAACGCUGCCUCCAGAUGCUGGCCCAAGUCAAAGUUACGAAGCAAGAGUUUGGGUGAGCCUCAUCUGUCUUGGUAUGUUUCUUUCCUACCUAAGUGACCCUAAUGCAACCCUGGUAGAUGGGGAGAAUUUGUAAUCCAUGCAUCCUAAUACAGAAAUAGGACAGUUGAAAACGUGAUUUCUGUCUCCAUCCUUUGCCUCUUUCCUUCUGAGGGAACUCUGUCCUGAGCAUGCACAUAAUAUUGCUUAGGGUUCUUUGCUUCCAAGUAACAAGAACCACUCUAUCCCCACUUGAAUAAAAAAUGCAGAUUUGUUGAAAGGGUGCUGGGAGGGAAAACAACCAGGCUUUGCAAAAGACAGAAGUGAGGGGUCAGGAUCUCCACAGGAGGGGUCCAGUGCGGUGUUCCGAGCCCAUGGCUCUCUGAAGGACUCGACUCGAGCAGCUCCACCCUAGGUGUUCUGGCUUGGGAUUCAGACUCCCUAGAGAGCUGGGGAAGAGAGGGGAAUGGGAACCAUGUUUGACAGCCCCCCUGCCCCUGAAUUACCAAGGAAUCAGGGAAGGACAGUUUCCGAAACGAAGAGGAGCAAGACAAACACAAU